CAAAUUGUGAUAUAUUCAUGUGUUGGACGGCAGUAAAUAAGAUGAAACCUGAGGAGUCAGAUCCACCUUCCCCCAUUCAUAGAGGCUUUUCAGCCUCAUUUUGAGGUACAGUUACAUAUCUUUUGCCUUUUGCCCCCGUGCAUAGCUAUCUACAGCCAAUCACAGAUCACAGAGUCACUGGACUAUAGAGCUGGAAGGAAGCUCAGAGACAAUGCCAAGGGGGCAGAAAAUUUAUCAGAAGCCAGUCCCAGUGCGUUUCCUCCAUUUCCUUCUGCAGGAAGACUAUUUUGGGCUGCCUGAACAUUGUAUCAAACCUGCUACCUAUACUAUGGUCUACCUUUCCUCCAGUGGAAUUACAAAGGCACUAACUGAAAUGCCUUCUAGAAACAGAGAAAACGAAACUGUACUUAUUUACUCUUGAUACACAGAUUAUUUAUAAAACAGAUUGAAGUAACCUGUUAACUGGCAAAAAGAGAAUGAGAUCGGAUUUAAAUGUAUGGCAGUAAGUCCUAUUGAUCCCUCCAGUUAUCUCAGUAUGACUGCAGUAUAUUCAUUCACUAAAACCACUCACUAGAUACCAACUACACACCUGGCACUGCAGAUGUAAAGGUCAGUCACACAUGUUCUGACUUUACAGAGUUCACAGUAGCAGUGGAGGAUGAUAUAUGUGGAAACAAAAAAGGCAUUGAUUCUAUUCAGAGCACUGUUAGGGCUCAAAGGAGAGAGGGGUCUUUCCACCUAAGAAAUGAGGAAUAGGGUCAUCAUAGAAGUGACCUUAAGUCUUAAAAAUUAAGAAGGGGAUUCCAAGCUGCUUCAGACAGAGACACAUCGAGCUAAAACACAGAGGUAUGAAAGAGCACAGGGACUUUAGGAAUUGCACAGUUCAUUCUAACAGGAACAAAAGGCUCAAGGGGGGCAAGAAAUGAGGCUGUAUGGAAAGAGAUUCAAUGUAAGCACUUUAUAAAAUAGAUUAAUUUCUGAUUCAAUGAAGCAUUUCUUGAUCAUUGUGUACAAGGCACUACAUGCAUCAUGGAAAAUUCAUUAGGAUGCAUUGCCAGCACUUUGCAGAACUGAUAUUAUUCAGCCUCAAGCUUUCCAGUGGCCAAAGGGAAAUGCUGACUGCUUUUCAUAUAUUUGAGUCAAAGAUUUUUUAUAUGGUCAAUGAAGACUAAUAUAAGGGCAGUGGGAUUUUCACAGAUGCAUGCCAUGUUGUCGAGAGCCUCUUAGAUUUUCUCAACUGUGAGAAAGAAAAACGAAAAUGUUGAAGACGUUGAGUCUGGAGAGGGGAUACUAAUCACUGUCCAGUUGGGCACUGGUGGGAAUGGGGAAAUGGCACAGGAAUGCAAGCCUCUCCACCCUACCCCCCGAACUCCAGCCAUACACUCAUCGUUUCACAAAAUAUAAAUGAGUUAGCAUUAAAUGUUUCAGAGUAAAUAAUUCCUUUUCCCGAAAUGCAUGAAGAUAGAGUAACAGACUUCUCACACUGUAUUUUUAGGGUAUGGAGAAUUUAGAAGGUUAAAGAAUUACUGCUUCAAUUUUUCAGUUAAAAAAAAAUCAGGAAGCUCUGUUCAUUCAGGCUAUGCACCAUGUGCACAGUCAAGAAUUAGCAGAAACCCUCUGCAUUUACAAACACUUUGUGCUAUAAAAAAGUAAUUUUUAAAAAGCCACGUGUGUGUGUGUGUAUAUAUAUAUAUAUAUAUAUAUUUAAAGCCAAGGUUUUGAUACUUUUUUACAAAAACUACAAGAGAAAACAAAUAUACCUGUCCAAACCAUAUACUUUUAAAAGAGCAUUUUUUUUUCCAUACAAGCUGUUGUUAAUUUGGGGGUAAAGUGCUGAUUUGCAAACUUCAUCAAAUUGUUCCCAAGUGGAUUCUCCUUGUUUGUCUCCCCCUACCAACCCCAAAGUUACCAUAUUUGAUGUAAGAAUCAGGCAUGUUAGAAUGUUGUGUCACACUAACUGAUUCUGCUCUUUUUGUCUUGUCAUUCAAGUUCCGUUAGCUUCUGUACGCGGUGCCCUUUGCAGUCUGGUGUCUCUUCCAGAGGCGAGGGGGCUGAGGAUGGGGUGCUGCAUCUCACUAGCUAUACUGGCAUCAUCUUGGUAAACUGAAAACCAAAUGUGGACAUUUGUAAAAUCAGUGCACUGUUUCUAGAGAGAGAUUAAAUUCAUUUAAAAAAAA
rnacentral:lncRNA from 10 species